rnacentral:rRNA from 1 species
GUGCUUAACACAUGCAAGUCGAACGAUGAAGCCUUUCGGGGUGGAUUAGUGGCGAACGGGUGAGUAACACGUGGGCAAUCUGCCCUUCACUCUGGGACAAGCCCUGGAAACGGGGUCUAAUACCGGAUAACACUCUGUCCCGCAUGGGACGGGGUUAAAAGCUCCGGCGGUGAAGGAUGAGCCCGCGGCCUAUCAGCUUGUUGGUGGGGUAAUGGCCUACCAAGGCGACGACGGGUAGCCGGCCUGAGAGGGCGACCGGCCACACUGGGACUGAGACACGGCCCAGACUCCUACGGGAGGCAGCAGUGGGGAAUAUUGCACAAUGGGCGAAAGCCUGAUGCAGCGACGCCGCGUGAGGGAUGACGGCCUUCGGGUUGUAAACAUCUUUC